UGACCUCUGACCUCAAAUCAGGUAGGACUACCCGCUGAACUUAAGCAUAUCAAUAA
rnacentral:rRNA from 6 species